GCUUAUGUUUUUAAUGUUAAAAAAAGUGAUUUAAAAUCCCUCGAUCGCAAGGUCGUGCGGGUUCAAGUCCCGCCCCGGGCACCA
rnacentral:tRNA from 1 species